rnacentral:rRNA from 1 species
AUGGUGAGUGAAGAAAUAUCUUGUGAUGAUGGUGUUAAGCUCAUUUGUGAUGAUAUGCUUGAUCUCCCAUGUUGCCAUGAUAGAAAUGCCUUGGUUUCCUCUAGUUGUUCUAUGACUAGGCAUGCAGAGGAAAUCAAGAAAGAUGAGGCAUGCUUGAUUGAUGAAGAACCCUCUUCUCCAAAAGAAUCAUCAUCAACCCCCUUUGUUCACAUGUGCCUCAUGGCAAGAGGUAAUGACGAGGUAUCAUCUUCUCUUAGUGAUAAUGGUGAUAGUUGUAAUGAGGAUGAUGAUGAUGACUUGACUCAAAAUCUCUAUGAGAUUGGGAAAACUCUUCAUGGAGCUAAAAAUAACACUUAUAAAAGGUUCCAAGAUGUUCUUGCUUGCUUUGAAAAACGUAAUGACUUAUUUCUUAACGAGCAAGCGAAAAGUGAACAACUUGAACAUGAACUUGCUAAGGCUCAUCAAUGUAUUAGUGACUUGAGGUCUUUAAAAGAAGAGAUUGAAAGUACUCAUGGUAAACUUAAAGAGGAUUUUGAGCUCCUUCUCCUUGAAUGCAAUAAUGUCAAGGUAGAGCUCAUCAAACUCUCUAAGUCUCAUGAGGAGCUUCAAUCAACUCAUGAGAAGUCUCUAAUUGCUACUUGCUCCUAUGAUAUUGAUAAUGAUGCUUGUGUUACUAACUCGAUUUUAUGUGAAGCAUCAAUUUUGAAGGAGAAUGUCGAGCUAAGGACUCAACUUGAUUUGCUAACUAGGAAUUAUGGGAAAUUGGAAGAAAGUCAUGAAAAGCUCUCAAGCACUUAUGAGGAUCUUCUAAUCUCCCAUGAUGGGCUAAAGUUAGCUCAUGAGGCUAUGGUCACGAAGGUAAAAUCGUGUGAGUCUCAUGUGGAUAUUAGCACAUCUUCUACUCGAAAUGCCGUAUUGCCAUGUGCUAGUCCUUGCAAUUCCUCUCUACAUGAUAUUGAUACACCUCAUGAUGAAUUGCUCACCUUGUCUUGUUGCUCUAACCAUGAAGUUUCUACUUGCACUAGUCCUCUUGUUUCUAGUCUUGAAACUAACCAUGUAGAGGAAAUUAAUGAGCUCAAGGCCCAAGUCACUAGUUUGAAGAAAGACUUGGAAAAGCGCGAUGAUGGACAUAGUUUUCACUCCAACAAGAAGAAAUCCAUUAACAAGAAAAGGGGGCAAGACCAAGCCAAGAACGACUCCAACAUUUCUUGCUUUAAGUGCAAAAAGGUUGGACAUCACGUGAGAUCUUGUCCCUUGAAGAAAAGGGCUUAUGAAGGGAAGCUACAUGGGAAGCGGCCUCAAGCUCAAUCUCAAGUUCAACCUCAAGUUGAAGAACGGCCACUAUCCAUGAUGAACCAUGUUAUUACUUACCAAGUUGAGAAAGUAAAGAAGAAGAGAAGGGAGAGUACAUGUUGCUAUAUUUGCCGUAAGAAGGGACACAUAGCUUCAUCAUGUCCCAAUGGUAACAUCUCUAAGCCUUCAAUUAUCUAUGAUCAUUAUUCACUUAGGAAGGAUAUUUAUGACAAUAUGUUUGCCAAGUGUGUUGGUGCCCAAAGUGGUUUGAAAGUGGAUAAGACCAUUUGGGUUGCCAAGCCUAUUGUUACUAACUUCUUAGGACCCAACGUGGUUGGGGACCAUCUAGCUCAAACUUGA